rnacentral:rRNA from 1 species
UACAGAGGGGGCAAGCGUUGUCCGGAUUUACUGGGCGUAAAGCGUACGCAGGCGGCUCGGCAAGUCGAGUGUGAAAUCCCGGGGCUCAACUCCGGAACUGCAUCCGAUACUGCCGGGCUUGAGUGCGGGAGAGGGAAGCGGAAUUCCUGGUGUAGAGGUGAAAUUCGUAGAUAUCAGGAGGAACACCGGUGGCGAAAAGCGGCUUCCUGGCCCCGACACUGACGCUCAUGUACGAAAAAGCGUGGGGGAGCA